GUGAAUGUAGCUCAAUUGGUAGAGCAUCGGGUUGUGGUCCCGGUUGUUGUGGGUUCGAUCCCCAUCAUUCACCCA
rnacentral:tRNA from 1 species